CCUACGGGAGGCAGCAGUGGGGAAUAUUGCGCAAUGGGGGCAACCCUGACGCAGCAACGCCGCGUGAUUGAAGAAGGCCUUCGGGUUGUAAAGAUCUUUAAUCGGGGACGAAUUUUGACGGUACCCGAAGAAUAAGCUCCGGCUAACUACGUGCCAGCAGCCGCGGUAAUACGUAGGGAGCAAGCGUUAUCCGGAUUUACUGGGUGUAAAGGGCGUGUAGGCGGGCAUGCAAGUUAGUAGCGUGAUUCCGGAGCUCAACUUCGGCACUACUACUAAAACUGUUGGACUUGAGUGCAGGAGGGGCAACUGGAAUUUCUAGUGUAGCGGUGGAAUGCGUAGAUAUUAGGAAGAACACCGGUGGCGAAGGCGAGUUGCUGGACUGUAACUGACACUGAGGCACGAAAGCGUGGGGAGCAAACAGGAUUAGAUACCCGAGUAGUC
rnacentral:rRNA from 1 species